rnacentral:rRNA from 1 species
GAUGAACGCUGGCGGCGUGCUUAACACAUGCAAGUCGAACGGUGAAGGCGGAGCUUGCUCUGCUGGAUCAGUGGCGAACGGGUGAGUAACACGUGAGCAAUCUGCCCCUGACUCUGGGAUAAGCGCUGGAAACGGCGUCUAAUACUGGAUACGAGCUGCGAAGGCAUCUUCAGCAGCUGGAAAGAAUUUCGGUCAGGGAUGAGCUCGCGGCCUAUCAGCUUGUUGGUGAGGUAAUGGCUCACCAAGGCGUCGACGGGUAGCCGGCCUGAGAGGGUGACCGGCCACACUGGGACUGAGACACGGCCCAGACUCCUACGGGAGGCAGCAGUGGGGAAUAUUGCACAAUGGGCGAAAGCCUGAUGCAGCAACGCCGCGUGAGGGACGACGGCCUUCGGGUUGUAAACCUCUUUUAGCAGGGAAGAAGCGAAAGUGACGGUACCUGCAGAAAAAGCUCCGGCUAACUACGUG